GGGUCUCGGGUGGACUAGUGAUUAUGCCUCGAUGCUCUCACCACUGUGGCCCAGGUUCAAUUCCCGGCCCCUCG